rnacentral:rRNA from 1 species
UGGCAGGCUUAACACAUGCAAGUCGAGCGAGAACUACCUUCGGGGUGGGGACAGCGGCGGACGGGUGAGUAACGCGUGGGAAUUUACCCUGGAGUGGGGGACAACAGCUGAAAACGGCUGCUAAUACCGCAUACGCCCUGAGGGGGAAAGGCUUCGGCCGCUCUAGGAUGAGCCCGCGUCGGAUUAGCUAGUUGGUAGGUAACGGCCUACCAAGGCGACGAUCCGUAGCUGGUCUGAGAGGAUGACCGGCCACACUGGGACUGAGACACGGCCCAGACUCC